UCGAACACCGCAGUAGAUAUAGCGUGGAGCAACAAAGAUGGGCCGCAGGUUUACGUACGCCUGAACCGAGUAGUAUUUAUAAAACGAUUUUUUCUACUUUCUGCACUGAAAUACCCAGUUAUGCAUGAAUUCGGCGUGCGCAAAGUAUCACUUUAAAACGAAAUCAACUACGAUUCGCCUAGAGGUGGCGUUUCCGUUAUCACCGAAAAAGGUGACGUCACAGUAUCUUACUUGCUAAUUCAACGUGCAAAUGAAAAGGAUUCAGGGCGGUACACGUGCCACCCAUCCAAUGCCAAUCCCAAGGCUCUGAUAGUUCACGUGCUUAACGGUGAACAUCCUGCUGCCAUGCAACACGGCGGACAACUCCGUCUAAAAUACCCAUUUUCGGUGGUUCUACUCAGCAUUUUUAUCACAUUAGUCGGACCUUGAGGCUAAUGAGGUAAAUGGGACCUGACCAUGUAAAUAUAUCCCAAUACUGGCUAUCUAUUUAAGUGUACAUAUAUCUGUAAAAAUAGCAUUUAAGGGGAAUCUUUAAGUACGCAUGAUAUUACUUUCCCAGAGAAAGAUUUGUCGGUGAGGAAUUAAUAAAAAAAACCUGCUGAAAACAAACUAUAUCUACCGGUAUAACGGUGAUCGAUGUUACGGAGGUGCCCCAGUGGUUUAAUGAAAAUGUAUUUUCAAAGAGUUCAAAUUAUUGACUGAGUCUAUGGAACGUCGUAACAAAUUUGUUGUUUUAAUUAUCUAAAUGAAUAUAUGUAAUGGAAACAAGUAUUUUUUGAAAUGUCUAGCAUCAGAACAACAUUGGAGAAUAAAAUACGUUUGAGAUGUGGCUACGUAUUACAUUAAGUAUUUUCCAUUAUUUUUUAAAAUAUAAAAUGAUUAACACUAUCAUAGAAGAUGAAAUAAAAGUGAUAUACAACAAAGUUUUUUUUUUCAUUUGGUUGAUAUAAUACUUUAUUAUUAUAUACUACUUCAAUGUUUACGUCGUCACAUAUCGAUUUAAAUUAGCAUAAUUUGUUAAAUAUCGUUUGUAACCCAGAAAUGACUAAUAAAUUUUUUUCUAU